rnacentral:rRNA from 1 species
AGUGACCAGUGUAUGAUCAUGGCUCAUUAUAAACGCAGGUCUUUGGCAUAACACAUGCUGGUAAAAUGAAUACAGAAGUAUUCUUUGCAGAAAGGUGAGUAAAGGGUUUAUCUGCCCGAUGGGGUCCCUGGUGGCCCCCUUGGAUGGUUUACCCCGUAGGAUUAGGUAGAUGGUUUGGUAACAGCAAACCAUGCCUGUGAUCCUUAGCAUAGGCCACAGAGGGUUUAAAUGAAGACCCUUCCCUUGGCAGCAGUGAGGAAUAUUGGGCAAUGGGCGAAAGCUUGACCCAGCCAAUGACAGCAGGAUCAAUUCUGCUUCCUUGUACCUGUAUAAUGAACUAGGUCAAGAGAAUAAUCCCGGCCAAACCUGUGCCAGCAGCCGCGGUAAUACAGGUGGGAUGGCGUUUGAAAUCUUAAAUAGGCAUAAAGUGUGAUUAGGUGGCCUAGGGCCAGCAUCGUCCGGGCUAUCAGCCCGAGGCACGAUGGCUGGCUAGGCUUGAGUUCUAAGAGGAGAGUUAGAGGAAUAACCAAUGGAAGGAUGAAAUCUAUAGAUAUUGGUUGGAACAUCAAAAGCGACAGCAUCACUCUAUUUUAGAACUGACACUGAAUCACUAAAGUGUGGGGAGCAAACCGGAUUAGAUACCCGAUUAGUCCACACCCUGAAUACUGAAUGUUCCGGUCAAUACACUAAUUACCCAACAUUCCGCCUCCAUAGUACUAUGGCAACGUAGAAAUGGAAUUGAUUUGGCGGGUUUUAACACCAGCAGUGGAGCAUGUGGUUUAAUUGGAGGAUACGCCCUAAAUCUUACCUUCUCUUAUAGUCAAUAACGCCUUAUGGCGGGACCGAGGUCAUCACCUUGAACCUUUUGACUUUUGGUGUUGCAUGGCUGUUGUAAGUUGGUUCAGUGAUGAUUCGAUAACCAGCGCUACGUGCAAUUAGGCACCCCACUUCAAGCACGCACGGCCCCAUGAGAAGGGCUACACACAUGCUACAAAGGUAACUAUCAAUAUCAUCAACCGUUACCUCAGUUCGGAUUGUGAUCUGGAACUCGGUCACAUGAAGUUGGAAUUGCUAGUAAUCGCAGUUUAUCAUCCUGCGGUGAAUCUAAGUCUUGAAAUUGUACAAAUCGCCUGUCGCACGCGCCGAGUUGAAUUAUCUGUAGUAAUUUUUAGCUGUACUCUUAUAUCUUUUCCAGUUAUCUUACUUAGGUUUUUUGGCAAGGGGCGUUAAGUCAUAACAAAGUCACGGUUCGGGAACGAGUUGUGAAAUUAGAUACAUA